UCUUGGAAGGCAAGCUUUCUCCUGGAAGGCAACAUAUUUUUUGGAAGGCAGGAGUUCUCCUGAAAAGUAAGGUGCAUACAUGAGUUUGACUCGUUCGACACUUUGACAGUUCAGUUGGGAGUUGGAAGGGCUCUUGGACCCUGACCAAUUUGGGGUACAACCCGCAGUUUACCUGUGUGAAGAGGGGUUAGAUCGUAGACCCCAAGAUUAGUCGUUGUAAGGCAACAUCUGGGUAUCAAAAAAAAAAAAAAAAAGAGGAAAGAAAGAAGUGGUUGUAUAAAUCUCUUAUAUAUGCAUACUGUGUUCUAUAGCGAAUUUCAUCCCCGGAGUUCAUAGUAGUAAGAACAAGCCUUACUGCAUGCCAUGUACAAAAUUGCCACGCAGGAGAAUUCACAUGGUUCAACUGAGUUAGGAGGAAAGCAGGACCAAGAAAUCCAAUUGUCUACAUGAUCUGCAAAGCAGAUAAAAUACAGUUAAACUAACUGCAUUUACCAAACAGAAUGGGAACAGAAAACUUGAAAGCCGCUUUGAAUAAACAUUUAGAUCUACGUGUUGGAAAAAUAGUACAGUGCAAAACUUCACGAGAGGGAAAAAAAACUUAUCAUCCGAAAAUGUAACCCAUGAAGUCUAAAUGAGCAAAAUAUUUCGAUUAUCGAUAAGGGCUUCUAUUUUUUUCUAACAAAAAAGGAAAAGAAAUCUAAGGCUUGUAACAUGCCUCAGGGAAGUUCACAUCAACCUAAGACAAAUAUAUAGCUUUCAAGAACAUGUAAAAAUGUGGAGCAUAUAAUGAUAACAAUGCUGGUUACCUUCCAAACAUUAGUCACAGAUACACCUUUGCUCACAAGAGUAUCUAAAAUCCUACCCUCAAGAUUUGCUAAAAAGGCCAUUGUAAGCCAUGGAAAGACAGCAAAAAGUCCCGAUUCAGUAAGAUUGAAUUUCAACGCCUACAGCAAAAUCAGUAACCCUAAAUUUUCAUUCAAACAAUUCUAAAAUUUUGAAUACGUCAUUUAAAAAAUAAGUGACCUUGUUUGUUGGUAUCAGGAUCUAGUUUAAAAUUGUAUUUUCAGAAAUAAAACGUAUUAAAAUUGUAGAAACCUAAAAAGAAUAAAAAACACGAGGAUUUUUUCGCCACAAAGAGCCCGAAUGUUCAUUCUUACGACCUACUCACCCGUUGAGCAUCCACAAGUGGAUAAAGCUCUAAAUCCACUAAGAAAUCACAAAAAAAAAAGUUACAAUAUGUAUGAAGAAAUCAGAGAUUUCUUCAAUGCUUCCUCUAGCCUCAACACAUAGUAUAAAACAACUCCAAAUCACUAAGAACNNNNNNNNNNNNNNNNNNNNNNNNNNNNNNNNNNNNNNNNNNNNNNNNNNNNNNNNNNNNNNNNNNNNNNNNNNNNNNNNNNNNNNNNNNNNNNNNNNNNNNNNNNNNNNNNNACAAGUGGGGGAUUGUUAUGAAGUGGUAUAAUUGUUCAAAACCAACAAUAAAAAUAAAAAUAAAAUAAAAUAAAAAUUAGGCCAUGCGACCGCAUGGGUUUGUACCAUGCGGUCGCAUGGUACAGAAAAAACGAUCGUUGGGUCUUUUUUGUUGGUUUUUUGGUGGCUUUUCAUCCAUAAGGUGCACCACUUCGUAAAGCUAUACUACUUGGCUAUAAAUAGGUGAUCUUGGGUCAUUUAAAAAUGUUGAAAAAACACUUAUUAUAUUGAUCCUUCUUGAGAUCAAAUCCAAAAGAUAAAAUACCCUCUCAUAUUCAUCUUUUCUUUGUGUUCUUAAGUUUUAGAGAUUCAAACAAGUGUUUAGUGUUUGAAUCUCUAUAAAGCUUGAUUAAUCCUUCAAACCUUUUGCCGGAUCACCCUUUAAACACCAAAAUAGUGGGGGCAAAAUUCGUUUGAGUAUAACAAUCAAAAAUUGUGUUUGAGCCUUCAAAGUUCUUCAUAUAUCCUUUGCCAUUUGUUCAUCUCCUAUACUUCUUUCGAUAAUUUUUCUAUUUGUAAUUUGUUCUCAUCUUUGGUGGAGUAACAUUAUUUCCAACAUUACUCCCACUGAAAAAAUAAAAAAUAAAAUAAACCGCAUGACAAUAACUAGUUAUUUGGACAAGAACAACAAAUCACUAUUAGACAAUUAAAAACGCAUCCAUUACUUGAAAACUACACCAUACCAAUUCAAAAUAUAGAACUUUUCACACAAAAAAUAUAUUAAAAAAACCACAAAAAAUAGAAAACACCAAUAUAUGAAAAACCCAGAUUAGGUAACCGGUAAAAAAUUGAUUUACCAGGCAAAAUAUGAAAACCCAUGAUACCACCGUUAUCAUUGCAACUAAGCUCCAUGCAUCACCAAAUCUCCCAAUAGUCCCACGCCACCCAUUACAGUAACCGAGAUGAUAGGGAGAAAUGGCGGUUUGAAUUUAAAGAGAGUGGGAGGAGGCGGUGAAAGAGAUUUGGGAUUUGAAAAUUUUAAUAGAAAGGAGAGGUGAAAAUUAAAAGUGUGGACUGCGGGGGAGAGAGAUGUUUAAGAAAAAAGUGGGAAUGGAAAAUUUUAAAGGGGAAGUAAAAAUUUCAUUACAUUUAUUUUCCAUGAAAAAUAUCAAUUUUCGACCUAAAUUCUUACUUGAAGUGUUUGAUUGCUAUUUUUUUCAUGAAAAACAUUUUCCAACUUUUGAAAAUAUGCCUAAUUUUCCUUGUUUUUAAGGAAAAUAUUUUUUUUGGUUAGAGGUGAUUUUUAUUUUCCACAAAAGAUGAAAAACAUUUUCUUUUCUAGGUCAUAUUUUCCAUGUCAAUCAAACACACUCUUAGAGGGAAAUCAAAUGAGGAUAAAAAUUGAUCAAUUAAAAACUUGAUUUUCAUUAUAGAAUUGAUUAAAUUAAUUAUAUAUGUGCAAUUAAUUAGUAAAUAAUGUAUUAAAUGAUUAAAAUUUUAAAUUUUCUCCUUAAUAACAAAUUUAAAUAAACUCAUACAUAUAAAGUACCAAACAAUUUUGUUAUGAUAUCUAGGGAUAGGAUUUGGAUGGUAUUAGAAGAGACUUAUUCACGACUCGUCCUAAAUUGUCCCACCUCGAAUAAAGUAGAAAUUCCCUUCCUACUAGUUAAAUGAGAUGGGGGAUCACUGCCCUAAAUCUAUUUAUUUUAUUUUCAUAUUUUUUCAUAUAAAUUGUAUUUGAUGAAAUAAAUAAUAAAAUUUUAAAAAUAGUAAAUAACCAAGCGGGAUGGUAAAAGAGGAGUUCUUUAAUCCCCAUCCAUGCCCUAAACUCACAAAAAUCCUUGAAGGGAAUGGUAUUUUAAUUCCUCACCUCGUGACUCUCUGUCUCGUUGCCAUCCAUACCUAUUAGCACACAUAAUCGCCCCUCCCCCUAGUUUGCCUGAAAAGGACUAUGUCCAAGGGACCCCCCCCCAACAAGGUACAUCUCACGCCUAUGGGCUGCUAUAACUAUCCAAGAAAACACUCGCACUUUAUGUAUCUUUGAUUCUUAAAUGAUUGAGGGAUAUAAAGAAUACUUAUGUACCUCAAUAAAGGGAUGAGUUACAUAUUUUCCUCUAAAUACUUUUUCCAUUCGCAAUAUUAGUAUUGAAAUGUCAUUGUACUAUUACAACAUAUAAUAUUAGUGUAUUAACGAUCGCUUAGUGCUCAAUCACAUCGGCUUUGUCAAAACAAAUCUCUUGCUCUUAUUGGCAACGGGGUGGAUUCGAUGCAGGUAGACAUUUCGUGUUCCGUCGUCAGGGAUUUUCCUAUAUGUUUAUCGCGUACCUCGAUAAUUUUGCAGUAGGUUGGAUUCAAGGCACCCGUUUCAUUUAUUUUAUUUUUUUAUUCAAACAGGAUGGAACAACCAAAAUCCUGAACAAAAAAACUCGUUCUCGCUUCGCCCGUCCCAUCCCACCAAGCCAAUGAAGUGAGAAUUUUUUGCGGCUUUCAGGGUAUGGCGGAUUUUUUUAUUUAUUUUGCCAUAGUGAUAUACAAGGUAUUAUCAACACGUUUAUGGCAAAAAGAUUAAUGACGUUUAGGAAUAUAUUAACAUUGUCUUAAAAUAAAUUUUUUUAACAAAACACAUAGUUAUAGAAGGAUAUAGCCUGUUUGGAAUUCUUUUAAUGCUUUUGACAGCGAAUAUUAUGCUUAUAGUUAAUUAUCUUAUUUUUAAAUGUUAAACAAUUAAAAUAGUUUUUUUCACUGCAUAAUCUUUCGCAACGACCAAUAGUAUAGUGGUUGAAUGUUGAAAACUAUUUUGGCACCAAAUUAGAGAUGGUAACCGGGUCAUCAACUUUCGAUGACUAAUACUAUUGGUCGUUGAAUGUUACCUUUAACAACUGAGUUACUAGUCGUUAAAUGUUGAAUUUUCCUCUACUUGCAACAACAAAAUAAAAUUAGAUGUUGUUUUAUUAUAUUAACAACGACAAACUAUGGUCGUUGAAUAUCUAUAAUAUUAUUUGUGUUUCUAAAAACCGAUUACUUGGUUGUUGAAUAUCAAUAGAUAUUUUAAUGGGAUUUCUUGAUUUGGCACCCCUCACAAUGACCAUUUGGUUGUAGAAAAUAUAUGAUUAACAACUAAUUUUUUUGUCGUUAUAAUAUAUUUCCAACUAAUUCAAAAUUCGAUUGUUCACCAUCCGUUUUCGACUAUCAAACGUAUUGUUUUGCUGUUAAAAAUAGUUUUGACAACCACAUUGAUUUGAUCGUUGAAACAUUAGUUGUAAAAUAUCAUUCUCUUGUAGUGUGUUGAAUAAUAUUAAUCUUUUCUAAAAUUCAUUUUUAAUUACAUAUUCUUUCGUAAAAUAAUAUUUCACGUAAAUUCAAUUUUUUUUAAUCUUUUAACAGUACAUUCUCAAAAAAAAUCAUUAUUUUAAAACAUAUUUUUCCCUCAAAAUCUCAUUUUAAUGGAUCCGGGCUAAUUGUUUUGGAGAAAGGACUUUACUUGAACAAAAGAAAUUUAAAGAGAUUAAAGCGGCAUUUCCUUAAAAUUGGGGUGGGAAAAUGCAAUUCACCCGACCUUCACUCUUCUUAUACGUCGUCGUCUCGACGCCUCAGUCUCUAAUGAUCACACUAGAACGGAAAAAGCACUAUCUUUUCCAUUGUUAUUGCGGCUCAGCACAAAAAUCCAUAAUCCUCAACCUUCGAAUAUGACGGAGGUGGCGAGCACGGUGGUGCACGAUGUCAUAGGGCGGCGCAUCCAAGACGUGGACCAGCCAAUUGUUGACUAUAUCGUCAACGUCCUCGCCGAUGAGGACUUCGAUUUUGGUGUCGACGGAGAGGGCGCCUUUGAAGCCCUAGGCGAACUUCUUGUCGAUUCGGGCUGUGUCACCGACGACUCUGAAUGCCGAUCGGUACGUAUUGAUGGAAGAAAUCUUCCAAUAGUUCAAUGGUACUCAUACUUGCGUUUAAUUAGACUUCUUUCAUUGGAGAAUUUGCUGGCGAUUGGAAUUUAAUUAUCCUAUCUUGCUGGGCUUAGGGUUCUAAAAGGUGUUUAUUCGUGAAAUUAGAAGGUGUAAAAACUUAAUUCUAAUUGAAAGGGUUAUUGAGUUAAAAAUAGUCGAACCUUUAAGUUUCUUCUUAUUUUCUAGUUUUCCGAGGGCUAUCACGUUGAACUUUAGCUAACUCUUUAUUUCAGAAGCAUGUGUAGCGAAACAAAGUAAACAGUAAAUAGUAAAACAAGAUUUAUUAUCAGAAAGCUUAUUGUUUCUUCUUCUCUCUCUCUCUCUCUCUCUCUCUCUUUUUACCCAAGAAUAUUACCGUUGAAAUGUUUAAUUCGUUAAAUUUAUAUUCUAAUUUGCUGGUUUAUAAGCUACGUAUAUACUCAUGUAUCUAUGUAAGAUUUGAUCAGCUGAAUUGAUGGAAGAUUAAAACAAUUGAAUAAAAGAGUUGAUGGCUUAAUUAUUUCUCGUGUUUUAUUUGAUAUGGAAUAUAAUAUUUGCUGUGAAAUUUUAUGACAGGUGUGUAGUAAAAUCUCUGAGAAAUUUGGGAAGCAUGGGUUGGUGAAAGAAAAACCAACAGUAAGAAGCCUUUUGGCACCAUUGAGAAUGUAUGAUGGAAUGGAUGAAGAGGAAGCACCAAAGAAGAAGCCAGAGCCAGUGGAUGGUCCUUUAUUGACUGAGCGUGACAAGAUGAAGCUGGAAAGGAGGAAGAGGAAAGAGGAUCGCCAGAGAGAGGUAAGAGAAAAUAUCAUCUUUUUUUUAUAAUUAUGUUAUAUUAGUAGUGUCAUUAAAGGUCAAAUGAUUAUAUGCGGGAAUGUGGCUGCUACAUUUACAUGCUUUCCUAGUGAUUGGUUUUAUGUUAAAUACAGUGCAUAGGUAAUACGAUAAAUAAUAUUCGGAAUAGUAGUUGACCUGCAGAUCUUUUAUUUAUAUAUACUUUCUAUAAUUCGCACUAUGCAAAGCCAAUGCAAGUCCCUCUCUUUGUUAGAGAAAGGUGUCUCGGGUAAUAGCAAUAAUACGAUCUUUUUACGUAUAUGUAUAUGUAUAUGUAUAUUAUACAUGUAUAGAUAUAGUCUUUCUGUUAAUGCCUGUUACUUUCUUUGUUUCACUGCAUGUCUUUUACUUUUUUGUCUGUGUGGGUGGACCAGAGAUGUUUUGGUUGUGGAGGUGGGGCAAGGGGCUUGGAGGCCUUGGUGACAGUGGGGUUUGGUUCUGUUUUUGUAUGGUUUAUUAUUAGCUCUUGUGUGGUUGUAUAGGCACAAUACCAAAACCACUUAGAGGAGAUGGAAGCAGUCAAAGCUGGAAUGCCUGCUAUACGUGUAAAUCAUGACCAUAGUGAUGGACCGGCUGUUAGGGAUAUUCACAUGGAGAAUUUCAAUAUAUCCGUUGGUGGUCGUGAUCUUAUUGUUGAUGGUUGCGUCACACUAUCUUAUGGAAGACACUACGGUUGGUUUGAUUUUUAUUUUAGCUAUGAUCUAUAAGUUUACCUAGCCCUGUUUGCUUUCCAUUACUUGCCCAUUAAAAUGAAAAAUAUGACCGUUAUUCAUCACAUGAAGCUACCAUAUUUGACUUUCUAUCUCUUGUGUGGAACCGUACCGGCUAUAUUUUUCAUUGUCAUUCUUACAUAAAUGUGGCUCAAAUAGUGCCCUAGUGUGUGUGUGUGUGUGUCUACACAUACAAACAUUCACACACAUUGAAACAAAAAGGUUUUCCCUUCAUUAAAACCUUUUCUUGUCCAUCCAUUUGUGUUGUGUGUUUUUGGUUAUGGAGACUAACCCUUGAUAAAUGUGUUGCUUGUUUGCUUUUAUUGCAGUAACAGAUUUAUAUUUAUAUUUAUAUUUACAUUGAUAUUAGACAGACUUCGCGUAAUUCAUGAAUGGAAGCAAGAUUAAUGUUUAAAAUAUACUUAACUACUUUGACCAAAAAUAACAAGAAGCUAAGCUUAUUUCUAAUAAAUUUGGAAUGAAUAUAAUGAAAAUAAAAAGUUUGCAACCCACACACUGUUAAAAUAUUGGUUGAAAUACAAAGUUGUGGGGUAGUCCAACUAAAAUUCUUUGAGUCAUUGAUUCUGUACUCUGCUUGUAGGCCUUGUUGGAAGGAAUGGUACUGGUAAAACAACCUUCCUCAGGUACAUGGCCUUGCAUGCCAUUGAUGGCAUCCCAAAAAAUUGCCAAAUAUUACAUGUGGAGCAAGAAGUGGUUGGUGAUGAUACAACAGCUUUGGAAUGUGUUCUAAAUACUGAUUUUGAAAGAACUCAGCUUUUGGAAGAAGAAGCUCACCUGCUUAUGUUACAGGUUGAUAUAUCCUCUUUCAAAUUAUGAAGUUUACUCCGUUGCAAUACUUGUAUUCCAUUUGCCUUAACUUUCUCUGUGCAAUAAAUCUAUGCUCAUGUAAAACCUUAUAUGAAAUGUAAAUUCUUCUUUAGAGAGAAAUGGACCUAGAGGAGGAAGCUGAAAAGAUCAGUGGGGAGCUGAAUGGAGGGGUUGAUAAAAAUGCCAUUGCACAGAGGCUAGAAGAGAUAUACAAAAGACUGGAGUUGAUUGAUGCGUACUCUGCAGAGGCACGUGCUGCUUCUAUUCUUGCGGUUAGUUUCUCAAACCUCUUUAUAAGCAUGGCAACCGAAUUAUUCAUGGCUUCAGUGCACACCUACUUUCUUUAGUCACAAGCGGCAAGCAAAUGCUGCUCAUUUCUCAAAGUGAGCCAGGUUAGAGUCUGCAGAAAUAGCCAAAUAGAAGAUGAUGUUGGCUAGAGAAAGCAAAAGGUACACCAAGCAAGAAGGCAUGCUAAUUUUUAACAUAAAAAGGGAUGAAGAUAGAAUUUUUUCAGUCAUUAUCCUCGUGUUUAAUUUGUUAUUUCUUUUCCUAUUCAUUUUUUUGUUUACGACACGAUAAUAAGAUCUGGAAAAAGAAAAGUAUUGUUACCCAUUGGAUCUCACUUUUGGGGCCUUUCAAAUUGGAGCUGGCUCUGAAUUCAUUUAAAUGUAUUUUGCCCCAUCAUGCAGACUUUGAGUCAUCUUUGACUUAUUAUGAUGCAUGUUGAGAGGUGAUAUAUUCAUUAUCUUUACAAGUGGUGGUCAACAAUAGGCAAUUUGCUUGGAGUUAUAUCCCAUUUUUUGUGCUAACUGCUUAGAAAUGAGGAUCCUAUUAUAUACGUUUUGGAAAAAGGCUUGAUAGGUUGACAACUAUCUGUCUAUUGGUGAGCUGAAACCUCUUUCUAUCUGAUAGUGUACGGAUUAUCUUUUCUUUCUUCCUCCCGUUCUUUCUUGUCCCCAAUUGACCAGAUAUCAAACCUUUUAAUAUACUAUAAUAAUUAGUUAUCUAAUCAUUCAAAUGGUUCUCUUUGAAUUUGCUUCUUUGCUGAUGGUUCAUGAUUCACUUCCAUACUUCCAUUUUCACAAUGUGUUGUUCCUUGGCCUUGUUACAUAUUAUCAAUAAUUGCCAUAAUGACGUUUUUAUGAUUCAUCUCUUCACCUGUUGCAUUAUUUCUCAGGGUCUGAGUUUCUCCCCAGAAAUGCAGAAGAAGCCAACUAAAGCUUUUUCUGGAGGUUGGAGAAUGAGAAUAGCUCUUGCUCGUGCUUUGUUUAUCGAGCCUGAUCUAUUACUACUUGAUGAACCCACGGUAUGCUAUUCAUAUUGCUGUCUGUUAGUGUAUUCAUGUGUAAUUUGAACUCAAUUUCACGCUUUUGUUCCGUUUUCAUGGCAGAAUCAUCUUGAUCUUCAUGCUGUCUUGUGGCUGGAAUCGUACCUUGUGAAAUGGCCGAAGACAUUUAUUGUUGUUUCACAUGCUAGAGAGUUCUUGAACACUGUAUGCUUUUUCCUCUCCUGGCUAUCUUUUCCGAUAAAUUAGCUGACAAUCAGUGUGUAUAUAUUUCUCUGGUCACCUGCUGAUGCAUUCUUUGGCAUAUCAUUUGCUAAAUCACUUUUAACAGGUAGUCACAGACAUUCUCCAUCUUCAAGGACAAAAACUGGUUGCUUUCAGAGGAAAUUAUGAUGUAUUUGAGAGAACAAGAGAAGAACAGCUCAAGAACCAACAGAAAGCAUUUGAGUCAAAUGAACGUUCAAGAGCCCAUAUGCAGGUUCAUUUUUUGUUUCUUAUCUACAUAUUCCAAAUUUGGUGUCUGCAUGGACACACGCAUAUUCUAUGGGAAAUUUUAACCAUGCCUUUUCUUUUAAAAAAUUCCUAUUGCAGUCAUUCAUUGACAAAUUUCGCUACAAUGCCAAGCGUGCAUCUCUUGUUCAGUCAAGAAUUAAGGUACAUUUAUUUGUGUUAUUUCUGGCUGCUCAAGAUUUUCUUGGUUGGUGUCAAUCAAAUUGCGUGAUCUCACUUGUGAAAGAUGACCUAGUGACUAGUUCCAUUUACAGCUUUCAUUCAAUUGUAUCAUGAUGCUAUGCUAAUAAAAUUUUGGGCAUAAAUACUUUUGCGAUUUCUUCUAUUAAACGAUGAGUUACAUUCUCACUCUUCCUCAUAUUUACCAGGCACUGGAGCGGUUGGGUCGCAUGGAUGAAAUUAUAAAUGAUCCAGAGUAUGCAAUCUUUUUUAUUUUUUUAUUUUUUUAUGAUAAUAUUGAUGCCUAUAUUUUCAUUUUUAUUUGUGCAGUUUGUAAUUAAUUAUUGAUUUUAACUCAUUGUUGACAUGUUACUAGAAAAAUAUUGAUUUUGAUGCCUUCGCAUAAAUUCUGAUCUGUAUUCCAUUUUAUGGUGGGCAGCUACAAGUUUGAAUUCCCAUCUCCUGAUGAUAGACCCGGACCACCAAUUAUAAGCUUCAGGUUUGACAUCUGAUGCUUAAUAACAUUUCAAUGUUAAGUGCCUUGGGCUUCUUACAAUUUAAAAGCAACUAUCUCCCCGGUUUUCAGUUUGUUGAACAAAGCAUUAACAUUUGUGGUUAAUUGUCUUUCGAUCUGCUCCAUUUAAGUUCUUGUUCUUUUUGAAGACAAUUACUUGACUUCAAUGAUGUAUAUAACGGGAAGUCUAGACAUAUGAGUCUUAGACACAACUACAUAAGGAAGUUAAUCAAGGAUGGAAUAAUUUCCCUAAAUUAUGUAAGGUCGAAUGAAAAUUUGGCGGAUCCUCUAACUAAACCUCUAAAUAGAGAUUUAGUGGCAUCUACUUCAAGUAGGAUGGGAUUGAAACUCCUUAACUGAAAUAUCCACCAAUGAUGGCAACCCUACCUGUCGUUACUCAAAAGGUUUUUCACGGGUUCAAAGGGUAUCAACAAGUCAUUCGAUAUGUGGAUAGUUACAGCAUUAUUAUAAUCCGCUAUAAUCCUAUCCUAGAUUAAUAUAAUGCUGGUUGUUACUAAAACGAGGAUUGAGCUAUAAGCUCUUAAUAAAGUUCAGUGUAAAACCACAAGUACUUCUAAAAGUAACAAAGGUACUGGAAGAACUUUACCUAAAUAAACUUCAAGGUGGUGCCGCCUUAAUAGAGAGUUGGAGUUCUCUCUUAAAAGUUUAUUGAAAAGGAUAAGCGCAAGGCCAUAAAAGCGCUAAGCGAGAAACGAGAAACUUGAGAACACGUGAUAUUUGUGUGUGUGUUCUUACCGGUAUUGUCACAUGAAAUACUUGGUUCAAAGCUUCACGCUACCUUGAAUUUCGACUUUACUUUGUUUGAAUUACACUAUGGUUAGAUUCAAAUCGAAAGAUAUCUAAUCCUUACGCAUGAGUAUCGUAUAAUUUGAAUAAUGAGAAACUUGUUAAUUUUGAACAAGUGGGGGAUUGUUAUGAAGUGGUAUAAUUGUUCAAAACCAACAAUAAAAAUAAAAAUAAAAUAAAAUAAAAAUUAGGCCCAUGCGACCGCAUGGAACCCUACCGAGACCAUAUGGUCUCGGUAGGAUUGUACCAUGCGACCGCAUGGGUUUGUACCAUGCGACCGCAUGGUACAGAAAAAACGAUCGUUGGGUCUUUUUUGUUGAUUUUUUGGUGGCUUUUCAUCCAUAAGGUGCACCACUUCGUAAAGCUAUACUACUUGGCUAUAAAUAGGUGAUCUUGGGUCAUUGAAAAAUGUUGAAAAAACACUUAUUAUAUUGAUCCUUCUUGAGAUCAAAUCCAAAAGAUAAAAUACCCUCUCAUAUUCAUCUUUUCUUUGUGUUCUUAAGUUUUAGAGAUUCAAACAAGUGUUUAGUGUUUGAAUCUCUAUAAAACUUGAUUAAUCCUUCAAACCUUUUGCCGGAUCACCCUUUAAACACCAAAAUAGUGGGGGCAAAAUUCGUUUGAGGAUAACAAUCAAAGAUUGUGUUUGAGCCUUCAAUGUUCUUCAUAUAUCCUUUGCCAUUUGUUCAUCUCCUAUACUUCUUUCGAUAAUUUUUCUAUUUGUAAUUCGUUCUCAUCUUUGGUGGAGUAACAUUAUUUCCAACAUUACUCCCACUGAAAAAAUAAAAAAUAAAAUAAACCGCAUGACAAUAACUAGUUUAUUUGGACAAGAACAACAAAUCACUAUUAGACAAUUAAAAACGCAUCCAUUACUUGAAAACUACACCAUACCAAUUCAAAGUAUAGAACUUUUCACACAAAAAAUAUAUUAAAAAAACCACAAAAAAUAGAAAACACCAAUAUAUGAAAAACCCAGAUUAGGUAACCGGUAAAAAAUUGAUUUACCAGGCAAAAUAUGAAAAACCCAUGAUACCACCGUUAUCAUUGCAACUAAGCUCCAUGCAUCACCAAAUCUCCCAAUAGUCCCACGCCACCCAUUACAGUAACCGAGAUGAUAGGGAGAAAUGGCGGUUUGAAUUUAAAGAGAGUGGGAGGAGGCGGUGAAAGAGAUUUGGGAUUUGAAAUUUUUAAUAGAAAGGAGAGGUGAAAAUUAAAAGUGUGGACUGCGGGGGAGAGAGAUGUUUAAGAAAAAAGUGGGAAUGGAAAAUUUU
rnacentral:lncRNA from 1 species